rnacentral:snRNA from 1 species
AUACUUACCUGGCAGGGGCGAUACCAUGAUCACGAAGGUGGUUUUUCAAGAGUGAGGCUCGCUCAUUGCACUUGGGAUGUGCUGAUCCCUGUGAUUUCCCCAGAUAUGGGAAAUUUUACUGCAUAAUUUAUGGUAGUGGAGCACUGCGUUCGCUCUUUCCCCUG